AGAGACAGCAGUCGCCGCGGGAAUACGUAGGUGGCAAGCGUUGUCCGGAAUUAUUGGGCGUAAAGGGCUCGCAGGCGGUUUCUUAAGUCUGAUGUGAAAGCCCCCGGCUCAACCGGGGAGGGUCAUUGGAAACUGGGAAACUUGAGUGCAGAAGAGGAGAGUGGAAUUCCACGUGUAGCGGUGAAAUGCGUAGAGAUGUGGAGGAACACCAGUGGCGAAGGCGACUCUCUGGUCUGUAACUGACGCUGAGGAGCGAAAGCGUGGGGAGCGAACAGGAUUAGAUACCCCAGUAGUCCCUGUCUCUUAUAC
rnacentral:rRNA from 1 species